rnacentral:rRNA from 1 species
UGCACAGGUGCUGCAUGGCUGUCGUCAGCUCGUGUCGUGAGAUGUCCGGUUAAGUCCGGUAACGAGCGCAACCCUUGCUGUAUGUUACAUGUGUCAUACGGGACUGCCGGUAUCAAGCCGGAGGAAGGUGGGGAUGACGUCAAGUCAGCAUGGCCUUUAUGUCUGGGGCUACACACACGCUACAAUGGCCAGUACAAUAGGUUGCAAAGCCGCGAGGUGGAGCCAAUCCUUAAAGCUGGUCUCAGUUCGGAUUGCAGGCUGCAACUCGCCUGCAUGAAGUCGGAGUUGCUAGUAACCGCGCGUCAGCUAUAGUGCGGUGAAUACGUUCCCGGGCCUU